GUGCCAGCCGCCGCGGUAAUACCCGCAGCCCGAGUGGUGCUCGUUAUUAUUGGGCCUAAAACGUCCGUAGCUGGCCUACUAAAUUCAUGUGGAAAUCGGAGGGCUCAACCCUCCGAAGGGCGUGAACACUGGUAGGCUUGGGACUGGGUGAGGUCGGAGGUACUCCCGGGGUAGGGGUGAAAUCCUGUAAUCCUGGGAGGACCACCAGUGGCGAAGGCGUCCGACUAGAACGGAUCCGACAGUCAGGGACGAAGCCCUGGGGCGCAAACGGGAUUAGAUACCCCCGUAGUCC
rnacentral:rRNA from 1 species